rnacentral:rRNA from 1 species
AUUGAACGCUGGCGGCAUGCUUUACACAUGCAAGUCGAACGGCAGCACGGACUUCGGUCUGGUGGCGAGUGGCGAACGGGUGAGUAAUACAUCGGAACGUACCCAGUAAUGGGGGAUAACUAUCCGAAAGGAUAGCUAAUACCGCAUACGCCCUACGGGGGAAAGAGGGGGAUCGCAAGACCUCUUGUUAUUGGAGCGGCCGAUGGCUGAUUAGCUAGUUGGUGAGGUAAAGGCUCACCAAGGCGACGAUCAGUAGCGGGUCUUAGAGGACGAUCCGCCACACGGGAACUGAGACACGGUCCAGACUCCUACGGGAGGCAGCAGUGGGGAAUCUUGGACAAUGGGCGCAAGCCUGAUCCAGCAAUGCCGCGUGCGUGAAGAAGGCCUUCGGGUUGUAAAGCGCUUUUGUCAGGGAGCAAAUCCUUGUGGCUAAUACCCACCGGGGAUGAGAGUACCUGAAGAAUAAGGACCGGCUAACUACGUGCCAGCAGCCGCCGUAA